rnacentral:rRNA from 1 species
AUUGAACGCUGGCGGCAGGCCUAACACAUGCAAGUCGAACGGUAACAGGAAACAGCUUGCUGUUUCGCUGACGAGUGGCGGACGGGUGAGUAAUGUCUGGGAAACUGCCUGAUGGAGGGGGAUAACUACUGGAAACGGUAGCUAAUACCGCAUAACGUCGCAAGACCAAAGAGGGGGACCCUCGGGCCUCGUGCCAUCGGAUGUGCCCAGAUGGGAUUAGCUUGUUGGUGGGGUAACGGCUCACCAAGGCGACGAUCCCUAGCUGGUCUGAGAGGAUGACCAGCCACACUGGAACUGAGACACGGUCCAGACUCCUACGGGAGGCAGCAGUGGGAAUAUUGCACAAUGGGCGCAAGCCUGAUGCAGCCAUGCCGCGUGUAUGAAGAAGGCCUUCGGGUUGUAAAGUACUUUCAGCGGGGAGGAAGGGAGUAAAGUUAAUACCUUUGCUCAUUGACGUUACCCGCAGAAGAAGCACCGGCUAACUCCGUGCCAGCCGCCGCAGUAA